rnacentral:rRNA from 1 species
UCGAACGGUGAAGCCUUUCGGGGUGGAUCAGUGGCGAACGGGUGAGUAACACGUGGGCAAUCUGCCCUGCACUCUGGGACAAGCCCUGGAAACGGGGUCUAAUACCGGAUAUGACCUGCUCUCGCAUGAGAUGUGGGUGGAAAGCUUCGGCGGUGCAGGAUGAGCCCGCGGCCUAUCAGCUUGUUGGUGGGGUGAUGGCCUACCAAGGCGACGACGGGUAGCCGGCCUGAGAGGGCGACCGGCCACACUGGGACUGAGACACGGCCCAGACUCCUACGGGAGGCAGCAGUGGGGAAUAUUGCACAAUGGGCGGAAGCCUGAUGCAGCGACGCCGCGUGAGGGAUGACGGCCUUCGGGUUGUAAACCUCUUUCAGCAGGGAAGAAGCGCAAGUGACGGUACCUGCAGAAGAAGCACCGGCUAACUACGUGCCAGCAGCCGCGGUAAUACGUAGGGUGCGAGCGUUGUCCGGAAUUAUUGGGCGUAAAGAGCUCGUAGGCGGCUUGUCGCGUCGGAUGUGAAAGCCCGGGGCUUAACUCCGGGUCUGCAUUCGAUACGGGCAGGCUAGAGUUCGGUAGGGGAGAUCGGAAUUCCUGGUGUAGCGGUGAAAUGCGCAGAUAUCAGGAGGAACACCGGUGGCGAAGGCGGAUCUCUGGGCCGAUACUGACGCUGAGGAGCGAAAGCGUGGGGAGCGAACAGGAU